AGCCCCGUAGUGUAGUGGCCAAGCAUGUCGGGCCUUGGACCCGGCGACGGUGGUUCGAAUCCGCCCGGGGCUA
rnacentral:tRNA from 1 species